rnacentral:rRNA from 1 species
GACGAACGCUGGCGGCGUGCUUAAUACAUGCAAGUCGAACGAACAGACCAGGCGUUUGUUGCUUUCUCGAUAGCCGAAGGCGUGAGUGUAACGCGUGGAAAAUGCCCUUAACAGAGUGAGAUCACCACGAAACACGGGCGAAUAUCCCGUAUAAUCUACUGCUCCGUGUGGUGGAUUGGAAAGAGUCGGCGGUUUCGUCGGUUCUGGCUGGAUUCGCGCCUUAUCAGCUUGUUGGUGGGGUAGUGGCUUACCAAGGCUAUGACGGGUAGCCGGCCUGAGAGGGUGACCGGCCACAUUGGGACUGAGAUACGGCCCAGACUCCUACGGGAGGCAGCAGUGGGGAAUAUUGCACAAUGGGCGGAAGCCUGAUGCAGCAACGCCGCGUGCGGGAUGACGGCCUUCGGGUUGUAAACCGCUUUCGCCUGUGACGAAGCGUGAGUGACGGUAAUGGGUAAAGAAGCACCGGCUAACUACGUG